rnacentral:rRNA from 1 species
CGAGAGUGAAAUCCAACGGCUCAACCGUUGAACUGCUCUCGAAACUGGUUACCUAGAAUAUGGGAGAGGUAGAUGGAAUUGGUGGUGUAGGGGUAAAAUCCGUAGAUAUCACCAGGAAUACCGAUUGCGAAGGCGAUCUACUGGAACAUUAUUGACGCUGAGGCAUGAAAGCGUGGGGAGCAAACAGGAUUAGAUACCCUGGUAGUCCACGCCCUAAACGAUGCACACUAGUUGUUGCGAUGCUAGUCAUUGCAGUAAUGCACUUAACAGAUUAAGUGUGCCGCCUGGGGAGUACGGUCGCAAGAUUAAAACUCAAAGGAAUAGACGGGGACCCGCACAAGCGGUGGAGCAUGUGGUUUAAUUCGAAGAUACACGAAGAACCUUACCUGGGCUUGAUAUCCUAAGAAUCCUGUAGAGAUAUGGGAGUGCUAGUUUACUAGAACUUAGAGACAGGUGCUGCACGGCUGUCGUCAGCUCGUGUCGUGAGAUGUUGGGUUAAGUCCCGCAACGAGCGCAACCCUCGUGAUUAGUUGCUAACAGUUCGGCUGAGCACUCUAAUCAGACUGCCUUCGCAAGGAGGAGGAAGGUGAGGACGACGUCAAGUCAUCAUGGCCCUUAUGCCCAGGGCUACACACGUGCUACAAUGGCUAGGACAAAGAGAAGCGAUACUGCGAAGUGGAGCAAAUCUUAAAACCUAGUCUCAGUUCGGAUUGGAGUCUGCAACUCGACUCCAUGAAGCUGGAAUCGCUAGUAAUCGUAGAUCA